rnacentral:misc_RNA from 1 species
GAUGAAGAACGUAGCGAAAUGCGAUACGUAAUGUGAAUUGCAGAAUUCAGUGAAUCAUCGAAUCUUUGAACGCAUAUUGCGCUCUCUGGUAUUCCGGAGAGCAUGCUUGUUUGAGUAUCGGUAAACACCUCAACUUCCAUAUCUUUUUUGAAAUGGGAGUUGGACUUGAGUGAUCCCAACGCUUUUCCUCACCGAAAAGUGGCGGGUUACUUGAAAUGCAGGUGCAGCUGGACUUUUCUCUGAGCUAUAAGCAUAUCUAUUUAGUCUGCCUAAAAACAGAUUAUUACCUUUGCUGCAGCUAACAUAAAGGAGAUUAGUUCUUGUGCUGACUGAUGCAGGAUUCACAAAGACAGGCUUCGGCCGACUUUGUAAACUCGAUCUCAAAUCAAGUAAGACUACCCGCUGAACUUAAGCAUAUCAAUAAGCGGAGGA